CGCCGCUGCUCUGUCUUUGUCUCUCGCUUGAGAACCAUCCCCAAAACCCUCGCCUCGCCCAUCCAGUGACUUCUCCGGCGUACCGCAGCGGCCAUUUACGGCUGGCAUCUGGACGACCUACAUCACCCGCGAUUCCACCUCGCUCCGCUCGUCUCUUAUUCUGUCGGAUAGCAUAAAACGUCAAUCAGAGGAGGAUCAGGUGAAGGAAUAUAUCAGAGCUAAACAAAUAUAUAAUAUGGAGAAAGAGUAUGAGGAGAGGAUUGCUAUAUUUGAGACAUCUCCCAUGGAUGAUUCAGAUUUAGGAAUAUGGCAUCAGUAUCUUGAUUUUGCUGAGAAGGAAGGAGAUCAUGAAAAGGUUGUGGGAUUGUAUGAGCGAUGUUUGACCCCGUGCGCUGCCCAUGCUGAUAUUUGGAUGCACUAUGUUGAGUUUUUGGAGGAUGCGAACAUGAUCACAGAUGCAAGUGCGGCACUUUCUCGUGCUCUGAAAUCGGUGAAGAGGGAAGCAUUAUUGGAGAUAUGCCGUUUUAGCGCAAUGUAUAAAGAGUGUAUUGGUGACAUUCCUGGAGCACGUCAACAAUAUCAUGAGAUUUACUCAGAAAUUAGAUCCAACCUCACAUGAGGCUAUAGAAGCACAUGCAAAUUUUGAACGCAGAUUGGUAUGUUGAGAAAGAGGGGAGGGGGGUAGGGUGAUGAUGAAAGGCCUGUUCAGUUUAUGAAGAUGCUAUAGCUGCUGAAAGAAAAUUGGGCAAAGUCUCAGAUUUGCCUGCUUUACUUUUUCAGUAUGCAUUCUUUGCAUAUGUGGUUCUCAAUAAUCCCAUCAAAUCUAGACAGAUUUUAAGUGAACUUCACAGCCAUAAUUUGACUCAUCCUGUUAUAAAGGGCGUCAUUGACCUGGUAUCAUGUUUUCCUGAGAGCAAAGACACGCUGUUCCGAGAGUUUCUAGAUCCUUUGGUGCAGAAAUAUUGUAUAUUCCACGAGAGUUUGCAAUCAAACCUUAUUACAUUCUGUAUCGUGGUAUCCGCUUAUACCACCCAAUACAGUUUGGAAUGCGACUAUGGGGGUGUUUGGUUAA